rnacentral:rRNA from 1 species
CCCUUACUAGGUAUCACGCCUGCCAUGUGGCGCGAGCUUGUCGGCCGCGCCAUCGUGCCCGAGCCGAGGUAACGUAGUCAUUUCCCUUUUACAUGAAGACUUGACUGAUCGGAAUGGCCCCUUUCAGCUGCCUCCGUCUCUAACCUUUAACCUUUCUUUCUGAGCGGAGAAUCACAAAUACGCAAUAAAGACGAGAAGACACUAUACAGCAUUAACCACUAAGUGAAUAAUACUGACCAUUACAUAUCACCCAACGGCUUCGGUUGGGGCAACCAAGGAGAAAAAAAAUCCGCCGGAACAAACACAAAAAAAACCUUCACUGAUAACUUCCUAAAGAACCAAAAAUUGGCAUUCGGAAAAAGUUACCGCAGGGAUAGCAGCGUAAUCCUCUCUGACAGACCUCAUUGACCAAAGGGUUUGCGACCUCUAUGAUGGAAUGGGGAACACCUACGGUGCAGAAGAUGACCACGGUGAUACAGCACGACAAUCAAAAGGCUACGCGAUCUGAAAUCAUACCGGUGUUCAACGAUUAAAGUCCUACGUGAUCUGAGUUCAGACCGGA